rnacentral:lncRNA from 1 species
UAUCCUACAAGGUUAGUUGCUGGUCUAUAGAGCCUUAGAAUACAAGGAGAGGCUGGUCCUAAGAGAUAUCCCAUAUGGGUUGUAACACAUGGUACCUUGGUACUAGUAUAUAAGAAAAGGGUUGGCAUGGGAAGAAUUAUCUCAUACCACAUUCUAUUUGUGAAGUGCAACCUUGCUGGUCCUAACUUGCUUGUGUGGAGUUUGCUUUCUAUGUUU